CACGAACCCGCAUCCCCUGCCUCGGCAGGCGGACUCUCAACCACUGCGCCACCAGGGAAGCCCAACAGGAUGAUUUUUAAACACAGAGUGACAUGCUGAGCGCGUGUGUGGAAUGAGUGGGACACACCUUCCAAUCCAUGGACAACACCCUGGUCUCUGAGAUCUUUGCUCGUUAUGAAUUCCUUCAGCAGCCUCCACUAGACUGAACUUUUGGAAGUGCCAGGUAUGAAUUCCACUGGCAUCUUGAGAGUCUGCAGGAUCCUCAGAAAUAAGUUAGAAGGUAUUUGAAGAGGGUUGUUUAACAAUCACAAAUUCCUCCUCUUCCUCUGUGUAUGCCCUGUGCAAUAUGCAAUGUGGCUAUCUAUCAAGAGAUAGGGUACGUUAGCUCCUCCCCUGAAACAGAGGCAUGGCCAUAUGACUUACUUGGGCUCAAGGGACAUUAGCACACGCGACACAAGUUGGCUCAAAAUGCACUUGCGUAUUGGAGCUCGGUCACGCUUGCUCCCUGAGACCUCUAGGUAAAGAAGUCUGGGCUGGUCUCCUUAAGAAUGAUACAGAACAUAUGGAGAAGGGCAGACAGACAUGUGAAGCCAUCUUACAGGAAUCAUCCCAAGCAAUCCAUCAGAUGAUUGGGAACCUCAUGAGUGACCCCAGGCUUCUUCAGCUUAAUUAGCUGCAAAGAAUGAAUUGUAUAAGUAAAAACUGAAAAGAGCUGCAGUAUCGAAGGGGCAGGAAUGGAAAGAAGAGAUAAAUGAAGAAAUGUUUAGAAAGCUGAGCUGGCAGAACUUAAAUUUGAUUGGCUGUGUGAAGUAAGGGAGAAAGAGUCAGGGUGACUUCUGGGGGUCUCGUUUGGUGAGGCGUGAGAGCCCUGACGUGGGGACACAGGAGGAGACACACCAGCGGUGGAAGGGACCUUUUCAGCCUCUGCAGAACGCUCUCAGCGCUAAUAUGGCAGAGCCAUUAGUCAUUGGCUCAGUUUGCUGGACACAUGACUGGUCAAGUUCAUCCAACUGGAACUUGCCUUCCUUGCCUUCUUAAUUCAUUGCACCAGGUGAGGAUUUUGGCUGGAGUAUGAGGAAGAGAAUCAAGCCUUGGUCAGAAAUGUGACACCAUCAAUCGCAAACUUGUUGAUUUCGAUAGAUAUACAGCCCAGAGGAAAUUUCCCAGAAGCUGUUAUCACAGCGUGCGGAGACUAAGCCUCACUUCGUGAUCGGACUGGCUGCUCUCCCUACUCGAGAGGUGAAGAUAUUUCUCCUGCUUCCAUGUGACCGUGGUCAUUGACACGAUGGAAUAAGCAGUUGGCUUAAUGAUGUCACUUAAUGGGCUGUGGAUUUUUUAAUGCAGGCAGUUCUUCGUGUAAAUACUAGUCAGGAAAGAGGUUUUCCUUUCUUUUCUUUCUUUUCUUUCUUUUUUUUUUAAUCUUCAAGAGAAGCUGUUUUAAUUAAACAAAGGGCAGGAAGUUCCUUCCUGAAUGGUUAAAGCCCUCUUGAUUAUACUAGCAAUGUGCUGAUUACAAACUGC